UACGUAGGCAGCAAGCGUUGUUCGGAGUUACUGGGCGUAAAGAGUAUGUAGGCGGUUGCGUAAGUUCGGUGUGAAAUCUCCCUGCUCAACGGGGAGGGUGCACUGUAAACUGGUGAGCUAGAGGACGGUAGAGGGGGGUGGAAUUGCUGGUGUAGCGGUGAAAUGCGUAGAGAUCAGCAGGAACACCCGUGGCGAAGGCGGCCCCCUGGGCCGUACCUGACGCUGAGGCGCGAAGGCUAGGGGAGCGAACGGG
rnacentral:rRNA from 1 species